GCCUGGCCAAUUUUAUUGGUGUCUAAGAAAAGCAAUGGGGGGACCCCCACCAAUCUUAAUAUUUUUCUGACCAAUUAGAUUAGUUCGAAUCUUGAAUGAAGGUAGCUUAGUAUUUUAAACACUACUAAGGACCUUCCUUCAUGCUAGGUUAAUGUUAUAUCAUGAACUAUGGCUAGUUUGUUGUGUUACCAUAAGACUUAUUAUAAGGAUUGAUAU
rnacentral:lncRNA from 1 species